GAGGGCGUAUUUCAACGGUAGAAUCCUGGGUGGCCAUCCCGGAGGUGCGGGUUCGAUUCCCGCCGCCCUCU
rnacentral:tRNA from 1 species